GAGAGGCAGUGAAGGCAUGCGGGUGCGGGAGGGAGCCAUGGCUGGCAUUCUUGUGCAGCAGCAUCGAGAGACGCUCGGCUACCCGUCCCUCCCGGUUUUCCCCGACACCCUAGAUUCCUGUACACCCCAUGUCGCUGGCGUGACACUGACAGAGUCGGAGAUGAGGGUUGGCUCUCUGAUGAAGGAGUUUUCAGGAACCGUAUGGCCGGACCUUUGCUUGACUGUAUAUGAAGUGCAAGAUGCUGGAGUCGACUAGCGUCGCUCCUUGGCGCUUUGGCAGCCGGUACCGGCCGACUACGGUCACCUUGCCAAGGUUACAUACAUUCCGUCUCACAGAGCGGCAGCGAUCCUCUUCCUCAGGAGGCCUUCGACCAACAUGGACAACACCGAUCAACAGCAAGGAAGUUUGGACAGCUUCAGCGAAGACAGGAAUGUAUACUGUCGGGAUGCAGAUGUGAAGUCAGCAUCAACUACAGUGGAGAUGUCAGCGUCAUCGAGGACAACGCAACGGCAUCAAUGACGAAGGCUCACUGGGAUCAUUUCCAUAUAAAUCUGAGAGGAACAAAGCUGACUAACUGAGGCUAGGGUAGGCUGAAGCGGACAGUGUGAUACGGAACUAAGACACAAUAAAGGGCACCUGUUU